rnacentral:lncRNA from 1 species
GAAAACUUUGGGAAGAUUACAAACCCUGAAAAAUGAAGACUUGGUGGCUUGCAGUUCCUUCUCCUUCUCCAAGAUGAGGCUGCUGUGAAGUUCUGCUUCAAGGUCUGAUGGUCGUCAAUUCUUCCAAGCCAAAGCCAGGAAUGCCACUUCUACCAUCUGCAUAGUGCCAUAUACACAGAAGAAAUCCAGCCAGCAGAGGAAACAGAUUGCCUAGCAGAAGCCAGAGGGUGACCACCAGGCUCGAGGAACAGGAACAAAGAUCUAGAGUUGAAAACAAAAAACUGACUUUCUAUAAACAAUUUUGGGAUAAAUCAUACCAAUUAAAUAUUGACAGAUGAAGAGCAGUGAUUAUUAAAAAGUAAAC